rnacentral:rRNA from 1 species
CCCCUAGAUGUUCUGGGCCGCACGCGCGCUACACUGAACAGUUCAACAAGUCUUAACCUUGGCCGAUAGGUCUGGGUAAUCUUUGAACGCUGUUCGUGAUUGGGAUAGACCUUUGCAAUUAUGGGUCUUCAACGAGGAAUUCCUAGUAAACGCAAGUCAUCAGCUUGCAUUGAUUACGUCCCUGCCCUUUGUACACACCGCCCGUCGCACCUACCGAUUGAAUGGUCCGGUGAAAUCUCGGGACGGCGGCUUGGUCGCUUGCGUCCGACUGCUGAAACUUUAUUAAACCAUAUCAUUUAGAGGAAGGUGAANUCGUAACA